rnacentral:tRNA from 1 species
GCACGGGUUGGAGAGUGGCCUAAUCCAUCGGCUUUAGGGGCCGACGCCUUAGUGGCUUCGCAGGUUCGAAUCCUGUCCCGUGCA